ACAAUAAUUUAAUGAUUUCAUACAUGAAAAUCUAAGCUUGUCCUCCUAAAAAAAAAAAAAAAAGUAGCACCUAUGGUUAAGGACGGAGAACUGUAGCUCUUUCUUCAGUAUCUGUUUUUCAAUUCAUGAAAUUAAAGCACAUAUAAGAAACAGGAUGACAGGCGUGCGCAGGCGACGCGCAGAGGGACGAGGCAGACCCGAGGAACGGCGACUAGGUCCCUGUCGGUCCACGCUGCCAGUCGCGUAGCCUGCUCAGCGUCAGCUGCCGCCAUGGGAGUGCAGGUGGAGACCAUCUCCCCUGGAGACCGGCGCACCUUCCCGAAGCGCGGCCAGACCUGCGUGGUACACUACACCGAUGAGUGUGGGUCAGAGAGCCAAACUGACUAUAUCUCCAGACUACGCAUAUGGUGCCACCGGGCAGCCAGGCAUCAUCCCACCACACGCCACUCUCGUCUUUGACGUGGAGCUUCUGAAGUUGGAAUGACAGGAAUGACCGCCUCCCUUAGCUCCCUGUUCUAAGGAUCUGCCGUGGAAGGAUCUGGUGCCUCCAGACGUGUGCACGUGAAUCCACAUGGAGCUUUCCUGGUGCCCCACUACACUCUGUAUAAACGUCUGCCUGACCGGAUGUGUUCUGGCACUCGGCUUUGCUUCCGACACCUCCAUUUCCCCUUCCCCUUUCUCCUGUAUGUGUGUUUACCUAAACUAUAUGCCAUAAACCUCAAGUUACUCA